rfam:Salmo salar isolate Sally breed double haploid chromosome ssa25, whole genome shotgun sequence.
GUCAUUGUGGCUCAGUUGGUAGAGCAUGGUGUUUGCAACGCCAGGGUUGUGGGUUCGAUUCCCACGGGGGACC